CAGAGCUAGUGAUUGAUAAUGAUAGCUCAAAUCCUAACAACCUCCCCUUUAUUCUAUGUCCUAACAUUUCCCUUAUAACUCCUCUCCUUCUACGGUAGACUUACCUAAGAGGCAAAUGGAUUUGAGGCCCAUAGUUAGUUACAGUCAGUUUAACAUACCCAAUCUCACGCAAAAUUGGUCAACCUAAUAGGGAUUUUCCCUCACCCCACCUUUUGAGGCCUUUGAAAUGACCUAAAAUUGUUCCAGAUACUAUGCUAUCCAAUUUUUCACAAACUCCCAACAGUUUACACCAAAAUAUCUAGCAACUUGUUCUUUUUUUUCUUUCCAAAGGAUCAAGAAAAUCUAGUAGCUAGAAAGUAUAAGAAUAAACUAACGAAUGGCUCUCAGCGUAGCAUUUAACUUAAAUAUUUGCAGUGGUUUUUGUGGUAUGUGAAUCUAUAAUUAGUUUUUUUUUUUAAUAUUUAUUAAGAGGUUCUUUCCAAUGUUUUUUUAGGCUGCAGAGGCCCAAGAAACUCUUGAAGAAGAAUCUCUUGCUAAAGUGGAGAGCGAAGUUAGACAAGAAUCGAAGCAAACUCUGCAGGGGGAUGAUGUUGGGUUAUCUCCUUGUCCUUUGCUUUAUCAUCUCUCAGUUUGUUUAUGACUCACUUGUCUUUAAGCUGGAAACUGCUGUUGCUGAUGAGAUGGCUACUUUUAAAGACGAGUGGGAAGCUGUUCUGGAUGACCUUGAAACUGAAAGUUCCCACUUACUGGUUUGAUUUUAUAUUCAACUUUAGUUUAAGUGUUAUGAUUUAUACAGUUUUCUUCAAAAGUCCAUUGUUUCUUUAUGCUAUUGCACACUUUUUUGUUUUUGUUUUGAAACAACCAGUGUUAAUAUUGUUAGUACUAUAUUGGGAAAUGCUCGAACUCCUUAUCAUUCUACUCCUUAACUCCCCUACUCAAGCCACCACACCAACGCUAUAUUAUAUCCCAUUUUCUGCUUUAUAUAUUGUUAUCAGUCUUUAGAAUUUGGCCUCUUCUGCCCUGAGCUGCUUCUUAUGCUACUAGUUUGGGUUUCCUCAUUCACUUCUUGUUGGCUAUAAUAUUUAAAAAAUGAAUUAGCCCUUGAAAGUAAGUUCGCACCAGACUUAAUUAAAGGCAUUCGACUAAAUUAUGAAUGGCGGCUUCAAGCACCAAAUUUAAUGAAUUGGCCUAAAGAUUUUUGGGAUUAUGAAUGGCGGGUGCAUGGCCGCUGCCCAGGUAUGAACAGCGUUAUAUAUAUCUGAUGCCGCCCUUAACUCGAGUGGUAUAUUUUCGGCCGUACAGGGAGUGUAGCUCAAGAGACAUUAUUUAAAAAAGCUCAGAGUAUAUUAUCCGCAUAUUAAAAAUGCCAAACCCGAACUGGGUUGUAAGUGUCGUUCUCCCCGUAUGUAGUUUUAUUUUGCUAAAUAUUGUUUGUCAACGGAUCGGCUUCAUUGGGUAAAUUGUCCUGAAAAAGGAACUUAUGAUAAUCAAUUCCAAUAGGCCCACUCAAAAGGCUACACCAUCAAUUGAAGUGCCACAAAACUUAAGCCAUCAAUCCGAGUGCCAUUCAGACUUUUUGGCAGUGCUAUUUCUGACAUUCAGUAACAAACCAACAGCAAGGUUGAAGUGGAGUAGCGUCAUUCUCAAAGUGAAUAUGAACAACAACUUUGACAAGGUAUACUUGUGAAUAUCCUUAGCAAUUUCUAUAUUUAUAUAUACUUGUGAAAAUAUAGAUAUAGCAUAAAUAUAGAAAUUACUCAGCAUAUUCACAAAAUCACAACUAUAAUUGAUCAAAGUUGUUGUUCAUAUUCACUUUGAAAAUGACGUGACUCAAUGGCACUUCAACCUUGUUGUUCGUUUAUAACUGAAGGUCGGAAAUAUCACGGCGAAAAACCCUGAAUGAUCCUCCGAUUGAUGGCUUAAGCUUGCUUUUGUGGCACUUUAAUUGAUGGUGUACCCUUUUCAGGCUCUGAUUGUGGCCUAUAGAUGAGAUACUGUAAUUGAUCAUCACAAGUUCCUUCUUCGGGACAAUUUAUCCAAUGAUCUCCAUCCGCUGACAAACAAUACUUAGCCAAAUAAAACUACAUAUGGCGAGAACGACAUUACAACUCAGUUCCGGUUUGGCAUUUCCAUUAUGCGGAUAGUAUAAUCUGACCGCUAUUUUAAAAUCCUCACGGGUGUAACGUCUCUUUGGCGACACUGCCUGUACGCCGGAAAUAUGCCACUCGAGUUAAGGGCGACAUAUAUAUCUAGCCCUCGAGCAAAUCCAAUGUAUAUAACUCUGUUCAUACUGAGCUGCGGCCAUGCACCCGCCAUCCAUGAUCCCAAAAAUCUCUAAAUGCGGCCAUGCACCCACCAUUGCUGAGCUUGUUCAAGCACUUUCCGAUAAACAAGAAUCGGAAGUUGCAAUGCUUCAGGUUUGAUUUUUAUUCAUAAUUUUAUACUAUUUUUAGUAAAACAGGUUGUGUCCAUCUAAUGUUUUUAUUUUUGAUAGGUUUUGAUCCGGGUGGAGCAAAAACAUAAGGUAACAAAGGACUCACGCAGGUUUGCUAACCACAAAGAUAUGCUGCCGUAGUCCUUCAGGUUACCAGCAUUAUUUUUCUGCCAUCAUAAUGGCGAAUUUCGGAACUGUGACAUUAUUGUUUAGCAGAAAAAAUAUAAAGAACUGUUAGAUUUGCUGAAAUGGAAAAGCGAGCAGUUAUGGCAGAAUACUGGAGGCUACAUUGCAGUAUCAGAGUGGCCAAAAUAACCUGCAACCACCUCCUAGAUCUCAGCGUACCACCAGAAGUAUAGGAUCACUUUCUCGGCCACUUGGACUUGGUCGGGGUAAGAAGGAUAAAUCUACUGUGGAAGAAUCAUCUGUGGGAGACACUGCCAUCAGUCAACAUGAAGACAAGACAUAGUAUUUUGAGAAGCAAGAAUUGAAGUUCCUUUUUGGGUGAACAUAUAUUUUCUAAUUUCUUUAUAUAGUAUUGGAAUAGUAUUGGAAUUAAUUGUAAGGUUGAGAUCAAUUGUGGUGCAUCUCACCAUUUAUGUUCUAUACAUGUCAUACCCAAGGAACAUCGUACUUCACAAACUCGGUAAACUCGUUCGAGUUGAAAAUCGAAAUCGCUUUUGAUUUCUGAAA